rnacentral:tRNA from 1 species
CAGGAAGUAGUUUAGUUAGAAUAUCAGCUUUGGGGGCUGAUGGCAGGGUGUAUUGCCUUCUUCUUGA